CGAGGUGGUGUUGCACAAGCAGGGGGCCCGGCCGCUGUCGCUGGCCGGGGCGCGCAGGACCGCGUGGUCCGAGACCGCGGGCCUCGA
rnacentral:tRNA from 1 species